UUUAACGAUUCGAAGCGUAAUAUUGGUAUUUAUAAUAAAUGUACAUUUUAAAAGCGGUUAAUCUUAAUCGAAAAUCUUAUGUAUGUUUUAUCAUGUGCGUGCAUAUCAUACUCGCCAUUGUUAGGCGUGGAAGCAAAACAGAAGACAUGAGUAACUAUGCAAAAAUCAUUGUAUAUUUAUUGGCGUUUUAUGUCGAAAAAAAUUUUACACACAAUGAGAGGUGUUAGUGCGUUACAUAGUAUAAAGCGGAAACCGGAUGAAAUAUUAAUUUUAUAUCAAACAAUACAAUUUAUUAUUAUAACAUUUCUUAAAUUUUAAAAACGUAUAUUUUCACCGAUGCAAUUAAGGUCAUAGGAUCAAAAUGAUAAAAAAAUUUUUAUGGCCGUUGGUUCCGUCGUAUUGCAUACAAAUUAAACACAACAUACUUUAUUACUGUUUAUCCCGAGAACGCGACUUGCUUACUACUGUGUUCAAAUUAUAGCACUUCUGUGAACACAGACUACAGAUUCCUAACCAUUCUGGAAAUAGAAGCCUUUUCAUUUGAGAAGAUUAGGUGGCAGACGAGCUUCGAUGAUUAAAGAUGAACAAUAUUUACAGGAUAUUUCAAAAGUUUUUAUUUUUCUGAAUAUUUAUUUUAUUUUUUAAGUAUAAACGCAUGUUAACAUACACCUGAGGUUAAUGAAGACUUGAUAGCAGAGGUUGAGUGUGAAAGUUGUGGUAUCUAUAGAAAUAAUAAGACUACAGGUCGUCAGGUCGUACAAAGAUCGUAAAAACGAUACUAUACAACAUUAUUAUACUUACAUACAUGGUCAGUUUAUUAAUGUUUACUUAGCUGCACAACCCGUAUCAGUAUUAAGGUUAACAUUACACAUUGUUGGUGCAG